GGGCAAUUGCGGCAGCUACACAUGCAAGUCGAGCGGAACGGCUUAUUGAAGCUUCGGUGGAUUUACUGGACGUCGAGCGGCGGACGGGUGAGUAACGGCUGGGAACCUGCCCUGACGAGGGGGAUAACCGUUGGAAACGACGGCUAAUACCGCAUAAUGUCUAGAUUCCUUAGGUGCACGACCCAAGGUGGCCUCCGCGUGUAAACUAUCCCGUUGGGAAGUACCCAGUUGGGAUUGUCUAGUUUUACCGGUGCUGCCACCCCUAGGCGGCUAUCCAUGACUGGUUUGAUAGGAUGAACUGACACACUGGGACUGAUACACGGGCAAGACUCAUAGGGGAAGAUUGCAUGGGUAAUAUUACACUGUGGCGGACACCCUGAUGGUGUCAAGACGGCCUUGUGAUUAAAGCCCUUUUGUUGUAAAGAACAUUCACCAGUAAUUAAGGUUUGGUACUUUUGACGUGCACUGCUUGACAUUUUCUGGCUAAGAACCAGCGGCCACCUCCGUGCCGCCAGCCGCUGUAAUCCGGAUGGUGCAAUCGUUAAUCUAAAUUGCCGGGCUUCAAUUUCAUGAAAGCGAUUUGAUAAAUCAGAUGUGAAACCCCGAGGCUCAAUUUACAAACCUCGGUUGAAAGUGUGUUGAUGGAGUUUUACUUAGGGGAGUAUAAUUUGUUGUGACCCAGUGCUGUGCGGAUAACAUUGAGCAAUACACCUUCGCGAAAGAGGACCUGUGUCCUCUUACUGACUUUUUUAUGAUCACUGAUUGUGGCACGGAGAGGUUUUACCCUGAUACGCUAUCCCUUGUAGCUGUCUACUUGGACUUGAGGUUUCAGAUCUUGGCAUUGCCUCUAACGCCUGAAGUGUACCGCCGGAGGAUUACAACUCAAAGGAUUAGACUCGGAUGUAUUGACGCGGGACACCAUGCGCUGUGGAGCAAUGGCUCUGAAACAAUACUACGUGUGAAGUCUUCCUACGCUGGCCAUACAGAUCAACCUUUACAUAUAGAAGCGCGCCUACGGGAGCUCUGAGACUGUCGCCGCCUGGCGUUCUGCAAUGUCUUGUUAGAACCGUAGCGUACGCACCGCUACUACUGCUAUCGCUAUCCUUGAUGGGCAGCACUCCAUGGUAGACGAGCUGCGUGGAAGAACUGCACGGUAGAUAAGCGCGCGAGAUGGUGUGCGUACGUCAAGUCAUCAUGGCCCUUACGAGUAGGGCUACACACGUGCUACAAUGGCAGAUACAGAGGGCAGCGAGACAGCGAUGUUUAGCGAAUCCCUUAAAGUUUGUCGUAGUCCGGAUUGGAGUCUGCAACUCGACUCCAUGAAGUCGGAAUCGCUAGUAAUCGUGGAUCAGAAUGCCACGGUGAAUACGUUCCCGGGCCUUGUACACACCGCCCGUCACACCAUGGGAGUGGGCUGCACCAGAAGUAGAUAGCUUAACCUUCGGGAGGGCGUACACGGA
rnacentral:rRNA from 1 species